ACGCCUCCCUCCACCACGCGCCACCCUCCUCCUUCCCCGGAGCCGGCCGCCUGCCUCCACCACGCGCCGCCCUCCUCCUUGCCAUGCGCCGGCCACCUACAUCCAUCGCGCAGAUCCCGCCGCAGCCCCAAAACCUAAACGGCGUCGCCGCUGUCGUCCCGCACUGCAUCGACCCGCCGCUAUCGCUCUGCUGCCGUGUACACGCGGUUCAACGCCUCAGCCCCAGGCCGUUCAAUGCCUCGCCGGCCUGCGGCUCCUCCAUGGACGCCUAGCUCCUCUACAAGAGCCACCGCGGCCCACGUCAGCCCAUGGUGGCGGAGUUCGUUGCGUCCAUCAGUCCAACCCCAUGGCUUCAGGGUGGCCGAGUUUUGUCGCGGCCGUCAGUUCGGACACCUCCGUCACUGUGUGCGUUGCUACCACGGCCAUUUGCGUCAAUGCGUGCUCCGUCACCGGCCUCAUGCGCACCGUGACCCCUGGCGCACUCCUUCCUCUCCCUGAUGCUGCUUGUGCCCUCCCACGCUUGAUCUCCUGCUGAAGCGAUGAGCUCUUCUACAUUGUUGAAGUUCCGUACCUGACGGCACCAGCGCGAGGAUGCAGCAGCCAGGCUGGACCCCAUGAACUGUGAUGCUCUACUGAUAGAGAGAAGUUUGGGAAACUGCACAAAUAUUGGUAUUUUGGAGUUAUGAAUUUGGUGCUCCGUAGGUGCCUGCUGGUAUAUGCAAGUUUUUAAAAGUAUUUAGGUGGGUGGUCCGACACCGCUGUGUCCAGCAGUCCAACAACGCCGCCGGAGGCCGUUCGUGUCGCAAUGCCUACUUUCGCCCGCGCCUCCUUCCCA